rnacentral:lncRNA from 1 species
UGCGUGUGUAUGUGGGCAUUUUUUUUUUCCCUGUGACUAACAUGAAGCUAAGAGCAUCUAAUAAAACAAAAGCUCCUUGAAAUUUGGGGAACUUACUGGAUGAACUCUUUUUUUUCUACAGGGAACACCAUUUUAACUUUUCUCAUUUCACAGUUACAUGAUGUUGGAGGUGGCCAAAUCACAUGAUUGGCUUUCUGCCCCUAUUCCUUAAGUGAUCCCAAAUUGACCCCUGCUCUCGGGGAAAGAGGGUUUUUCCUUCUAAUACAAUGAGCUGUUUUCCUUGUGAUUACAAUGGCUCUUCCUUCCUUCAUGGUUCUACUCCGUCUUUAAAGUAGAGUGAGCAUUAGGAAGAGGGACUGUGGCCAUCGGUUCUUUUUUGGAAGUUGAAGAUGAGUUGGAGAAUCCCGAGGUUCUAAACUCAGAACACUGUGCUCACAGUUUGCUUUUCCAAGCAGAUAAAGGCUUACAGAGGUCCUGCUUGCUCGUUCACCUUUGCAAACUUGACCUUCCUAAAAUGAGAGCAAGGCACCUGGAAAUAUUUACUAACUGAGCUGAACCGCUGCCAGAGCGCACCCGUCAGUGUGCACAAAAGUAGGAAAGUACACAGUGACCGGAACGAGGGCGCUCCCAUCGUGCGGGUCUGGACGUGCCUCGCAGGUGCUCCCACAGAGGCGCAGAACCUUUGGACUCUUUCUACCAGCACACGAGGGACACAGCAAUUCACUGAUAAAAAAAAAAAAAAAAAAAAAAAAGAUACACAAAAAACUGUCCCCAGCCUUCCCUGCGUCUUCCCCUCCGAAGUUACAAUUGGGGAACAGGUCGUGGGGGUGUCUUUGUGGAUAGGUAACGCUGGAUUAACAUCAAGAUUUCUGCUCUUAUGGGUCCAGUGGAAUUUAUAUGCUAAACAUAUAUGUCCUCAAGGCUCCAACAUGGAAGUUAUUGCCCGAGGGGAUCCAGGUGAGAGAAAUGACUACAACAACCCAUCACCUGGUCUCUUCUGCCAAAAGGGGGGAAAAAUCAAGAGCUGCUCUUAAAAGAAGUUGCCCUUGCU